UUCUGCAAUCUUAGUAGCUGAAUUCGAGAUAGCAUUAAUAGGGGGGAGGAGGAGGAGGAGGAGGAGGAGGAGGAGCUGAGGAAGAAGAAGGGGGUGAAGCCAGAGGAGGAGGGAGGAGCGGUGGACAAUCUGGUUGUCUACGUCGAGCCAUCAUUGGGGACGGUGGCGCCAGCGGCAGUCUUCGGCCUAAGUUGGUGAUGGUGUUGAUGAUUGAUAUCCUUUUGCUCGGAUCACUUCCUGCUGCAUUCCAAAGCUCAAAAGAUUAGCAGAGAGGGGUAGAUGAGAAGAAGGAAGAUAGAGAAAGAGAGAGUACCACGAGCUUGGGCGUGGGAGACCACAAGGAGGACGAGGAGAAAGAGCAGCAUGCUCUUUGAUGCA
rnacentral:lncRNA from 1 species